GAUGAACGCUAGCGAUAGGCUUAACACAUGCAAGUCGAGGGGCAGCACAAGGUAGCUUGCUAUCUGGGUGGCGACCGGCGCACGGGUGCGUAACGCGUAUGCAACCUGCCCUAUACAGGAGGAUAACCCGUCGAAAGACGGACUAAUACUGCGUAUGCUCACAACUUGGCAUCAAGUGGUGAGGAAAGAAAUUCGGUAUAGGAUAGGCAUGCGUCCCAUUAGCUUGUUGGUGAGGUAACGGCUCACCAAGGCAACGAUGGGUAGGGGAACUGAGAGGUUUAUCCCCCACACUGGUACUGAGACACGGACCAGACUCCUACGGGAGGCAGCAGUGAGGAAUAUUGGUCAAUGGGCGCGAGCCUGAACCAGCCAAGUCGCGUGAAGGAGGACUGUCUUAUGGAUUGUAAACUUCUUUUAUACGGGAAUAACAAGAGUCACGUGUGACUCCCUGCAUGUACCGGAUGAAUAAGCAUCGGCUAACUCCGUG
rnacentral:rRNA from 1 species